rnacentral:rRNA from 1 species
UACGUAGGGGGCAAGCGUUGUCCGGAUUUAUUGGGCGUAAAGAGCGUGUAGGCGGCCAGACAGGUCAGCUGUGAAAACUCGAGGCUCAACCUCGAGACGUCGGUUGAAACCGUCUGGCUAGAGUCCGGAAGAGGAGAGUGGAAUUCCCGGUGUAGCGGUGAAAUGCGCAGGAUAGUCGGGAAGAACCACCCGUGGCGAAGGCGGCUCUCUGGGACGGUACUGACGCUGAGACGCGAAAGCGUGGGGAGCGAACAGG